AACGAACGCUGGCGGCAGGCCUAAUACAUGCAGGUCGAACGGGCGUAGCAAUACGUCAGUGGCGGACGGGUGAGUAACACGUGGGAACAUGCCUUUCGGUUCGGAAUAACGCAGGGAAACUUGCGCUAAUACCGGAUGACCCGGCGACGGAAAAGAUUUAUCGCCGAAAGAUUGGCCCGCGUAGGAUUAGCUAGUUGGUGAGGUAACGGCCCACCAAGGCGACGAUCCUUAGCUGGUUUGAGAGAACGAUCAGCCACACUGGGACUGAGACACGGCCCAGACUCCUACGGGAGGCAGCAGUAGGGAAUCUUGGACAAUGGGGGAAACCCUGAUCCAGCCAUGCCGCGUGAGUGAAGAAGGCCUUAGGGUUGUAAAGCUCUUUCAGCGGGAAGAUAAUGACGGUACCCGCAGAAGAAGCCCCGGCUAACUUCGUGCCAGCCGCCGCGGU
rnacentral:rRNA from 1 species